rnacentral:lncRNA from 1 species
ACCAUGGCACCCUAGAGAUUAGUACUGUUACUGAUUUCACAGGUCUCUUGUGCAUGUGAAUUUCCAUGAGAUUCUAUUCAACUGGAGUAACUAAGAAGAAAGAACAAUGUCCCUCUAUACAAGGUGGGUUUUGCAUUGUCCCACACAUAGUCUGCUGAUGGCCGUGGGAUGGCAAAGUCAUCUUCAUUAGACGGAAUUUAAUAGUGAAUCAAAGUUCUUGUGGAGAAUAGACUGAUCUAAACUUUAGCCUCCCUUGGGUCCUCCUUUUAGUCUUGCUUUUGGUUUUGUUCUAUGAUGGGAGAGUCUAAAACUCAAUCUAAGGAUGCAGUCCUUUGAUAAAAUCUUCUCAAAAAUAUUAGGAAUCUAGGAAGAGUUAAUGGCAGGAGAAAACGGAGGAGCAGCACAGGUAAAAUGCAUCAACCAGACCUGUACAGCAGGAUCAGACAUAGUUAACAAGAAAAAAGAAAGGAGAAACAAAUGUGUUAGGUGAUCUUUAGUCUAAAGAAAUCUCUGUUGGGCAACUGGGCAUUUUGCUCCUUGCCUUUGAUUUCCAACUUCCUUUCAAAGAAUUCGUUAAGUGAAAAGAGAGAUGAUGGCAGCUCAGUAUAUCAAAGCUCAGUUAUCAGUUGGCUUAUUCUAGUAUCUUUAGUCUUUUGUGGAUGCCUUAUGAUGUGUUGUGUGGUAACACUGGAAAGUCAAUCUUAUACCAGCGAUUGCCACAUAAACGUUAAGGAAUCCAAAAAAAAAUCACAAAAUAGAAAUUGUUACUCUCUCAGGUAUAAAGUGGCACUGAUAAGAAUUAAUGUAUCCAAAAAGAUUUGGGUGGGUUUCUUUUCCCUUUUGGGGGAAGAGAGUGGACAAGGGAUUGAUUGGAUUUUUUUUAGGAGGGUGAGAAGGAAGCUGUAAGAGAAGGAAAAGGUAUCCUGCAGACUUUUCCAUGAUCAGCUCUUUAGUAUUGGCUGUGAAUAUGUUGUCCAAGUUAAUGACCAAAAACAAAUAAAUAAAAAACUUACUACCACUACAAGGAAAUCUGUUUCUCUUUAUGUAAUAUUUUUGUUCUUAAAAAUUCAUAGGAACCAUAAAAAAAUAAGUCUCAUUUUAAAAUCAAAGUAAACCGCCUUUUAGGGGCUAAAUGCCUAAUAGAAAGACUUUAGAAACUCUGGAAAGAUAAUGUACUAGUCCAGGCCUCCCUAGUCAGACACCCCACUCUGGGAUCUUGAAAAGAGUGGAAUGAAAGUACUAUUCUCAGAGCUGUGGGCAAGAUUUAAGGAACACAAAGAGAUGAAUCAAGGAGAGACUAGCUGGAGCAGGAAUACGAUUACCCCUGAGGCUACUGGGCAAGUGGAGGAAGCAGUGUUUCCGGGGCAAGUGGAGGAAGCAGUGUUUCCGGACCAAGUGAGAGCUCCACCAUGUGAGAAGGCACAACUGCAGAGC